AGCACCUGGGUUAAAUUUAGCUGUCUCUGCAAGAGCUCACUUGAAGAAUUGAACACAUUGUGGUUAAUGGUAACCCUUUCUGUACUUGCUAUUGGGUGUGAGUUUCAGGACACUUCAUAACCAGUAAGACCUCCCUGGGGAAAUCAGCUCUGGGCAUUGGAACUCUGCCCUCAGCUAGAUGAGGCCACCUUUAGAGAUAUACUCUAUCAAGACUCUCCAAGCAGUGACCCCUAUUUGAUCAAGUUGAAGAGGUAUGUCCUCAGAUUGACUAGUCUGGAGAGAAAAAGAAGAAAAUAAUAGUCACCAUCAGUGGGCGAUAAGGGACUCGCAUUCUCCUAACUGUGUUUGAGCAAUCAAUGAUGACCAAACAGCGACUGUGUUUGCACACGUUUUCUUCUGCACUGGGACACAAUUGCACUCUCUUCAGGUCAGAAGGAAAGCUCUGAUUGAUCUCAUUGCUAGCUUGGCCAGUAUAAGAAAAAUGGCACCGAGGAAAAGUCUACCACCCCCACUGCUGUUGACUGUUAUUUAGUAGAGUUGGUUCCACUACAGAAAACUUCUUGCUCUUAGCCAAUGAGGCCUCAUACUACGGUGUUGCUCUUAUGAUGUGUUAAGAGGACUUAUGAGGAAGGAGGCCGUUGGAUCCUACAAUAUAAACAAUG